GAUGAACGCUGGCGGCGUGCCUAAUACAUGCAAGUCGAGCGAACAGACGAGGAGCUUGCUCCUCUGACGUUAGCGGCGGACGGGUGAGUAACACGUGGAUAACCUACCUAUAAGACUGGGAUAACUUCGGGAAACCGGAGCUAAUACCGGAUAAUAUAUUGAACCGCAUGGUUCAAUAGUGAAAGACGGUUUUGCUGUCACUUAUAGAUGGAUCCGCGCCGCAUUAGCUAGUUGGUAAGGUAACGGCUUACCAAGGCAACGAUGCGUAGCCGACCUGAGAGGGGGAUCGGCCACACUGGACCUGAGACACGGUCCAGAUUCCUACGGGAGGCAGCAGUAGGGAAUCUUCCGCAAGGGGCGAAAGCCUGACGGAGCAACGCCGCGUGAGUGAGGAAGGUCUUCGGAUCGUAAACUCUGUUAUUAGGGAAGAACAAAUGUGUAAGUAACUAUGCACGUCUUGACGGUACCUAAUCAGAAAGCCACGGCUAACUACGUG
rnacentral:rRNA from 1 species